GGGGAAUAUUGCACAAUGGGCCCAACACUGAUGCAGCGAUGCCGCCUGUAUGAAGUAGGCUCUCGGGUUGGAAAGUACUUUCAGCGGGGAGGAAGGCGAUAAGGUUAAUAACCUUGUCGAGUCACGUUACCCGCAGAAGAAGCACCGGCUAACUCCGUGCCAGCAGCCGCGGUAAUACGGAGGGUGCAAGCGUUAAUCGGAAUUACUGGGCGUAAAGCGCACGCAGGCGGUCUGUCAAGUCGGAUGUGAAAUCCCCGGGCUCAACCUGGGAACUGCAUUCGAAACUGGCAGGCUGGAGUCUUGUAGAGGGGGGUAGAAUUCCAGGUGUAGCGGUGAAAUGCGUAGAGAUCUGGAGGAAUACCGGUGGCGAAGGCGGCCCCCUGGACAAAGACUGACGCUCAGGUGCGAAAGCGUGGGGAGCAAACA
rnacentral:rRNA from 1 species